CACAGGCACAGCUCUUUCCUGCCUGGGGGGCUUGAAGAAGUUACUUAACUUCCCUAUGCAUCAGUUUCCUCAUAGUAAAAAAGACAAUUACUGUACCUAUCUAGUAAGGUUACUGAGAGGAUGAAAUAAAUUAACUUAAAGGAAGCUCUGUAUGGGUUUACCAUGAUUAUUAGUUGUAUAUCCAACUUCCUCAGCCUGGAAGGAAGGGUCUUCUCCCUUUUCUCUGCCUUGCGAACUCCCAUUCCUUCU
rnacentral:lncRNA from 1 species